CAGGGGCCAAGAUUACCUUGUCAAUAAGAGGCCUUAUACUCACAAGUUCAAGCCCAGUGAGUGAUGUUCACCAAAUCAAACUCUACAUCUCAAUAGAAUCCCGGAUAUCAAAGCGUUGAGCUUGUUCUUGAAGCAUUUGCACCAGCAACAGUCAUCAUCUCGACAGAUACUUGCAUCUUUAUGGUGUGCAACCCUCCGUCUAUGAACAUCAUAACAGCACAUGAACCAGUGGCAGUCAUCAUCUCAAGAUUCUGGUAUAUCCAUGGUGCAGGACCCUCGGACUGUAAAGAUCAUGCAGAGCGAACCU